UGAUUGGUUGCAAAGAAAUUUGCGAGAUCAGCAUGGCUGGAAUGAUGAUGUUUAGAUGGAUUUAUGGAAAUACAAGGAUGGACAAGAUAACAAUGAAUGCAUUUGAAGAAAGGUUGAAAUGGUACACAUAUAGAGAAAAAAUAUGGAGAUUGAGAUGGUUUGAAACGUGUAUCAUAAGCAAGUUGUACCGGUACAAAAGGUUGAGCUCACGAAAUAAGAAAUAAGAAAAUGAGAGGUGGCAAGCCUAGGAUGAUG
rnacentral:misc_RNA from 1 species